UAUGGAUGAACUCCGGCGGAACCUCGAUCGAGGGAACUCCCGCUUCGUACCUGAACUGAAGACCCGCUGGGGGUACCUUUUACAACAAGGCACAGUUUUAUGGAGUGCUCAAAAGGUCAUGAAGCAACCGCUGCUGGACAAAGUGAAGCACUCAAUCGCCUUGAUGAAGGCUUUACCAGACAUGUUCCCAUCAGCUGUGGCUCCAACGAAGACGUUAGGACAUGCAAUCUGCAGAAGAUCCCAACACCUUUCUUCAGGCAAGACCACUCUUCAGCCCUGUCGUGAUUGUUUGCAAAACCAACUGCAAUCUGGCCAUUGGAACCAUGCCUGUGGUGACCUUCCCAAAAGAAAACAUCUAUGCAAGUGUGACAUAUCUCAUGGCAUGUUAUUACGCCUUUCACCUCACAUAUCCUAAGUUCAUUGCGACACUCCUCUCUGUGCUGCAGACAGAAGUCCUCUCGGACCCCAUCCACGACCGGGACAUGACUUCUUCAUAUAAAAAGGCUAUGGCCGAGUGGAAAAAGUUCAUUACUGACUAGGGUUGCACAAUAAAAAAUAAAAAAAUGACGGUCCCGAUAACAGAACUGUGUGUAUCGCCCGAUCCGAGAACCGAUCUGAUAACCUUAAAGCACUGUUAUAUUUGUUAUCUUGUUGUGUGCUUGGAACAGUAUAAGAACAGCUAGCUGUGCACGAGAUGAUAAAGCUAACAAAGGGAAAGCAGACAUUUUUCCUGUGUCACGUUGAAAUUCUUCCGUCUUGGGCAAUGGAAAUCCCGCCCUCUGUAAUCUCGUUCGAGUUCAGCUUUGUGCAAUCAGUGACCUCUAGUGGUGAAGAAUCGUAAGUAGUCUUUUUUUUAAAAGAAAGUAUUCGAUGUAAGGGCAAAACAUGUUAAUUUUAGUGUGUAACUAAGCCAUAUUUAUUAUAUCCAGCAAAUCUCAACUGACUGGAUAUAAUUGUUCUAUUAAAUUGUCGAACAUACAGUUGAAGUCGGAAGUUUACAUACACUUAGGUAACCUUCCCGCUAGCCAUGAUUGACUGAGAUAAUGAGUGGGCUGGACAUGCCGAGAGAUGAGUUCGGAUUGGUCUGCCAUGUAGCACGCUUUUGUCCAUAGCAUGAGCCGGUCAGUAUGUGUAGGUAAUCCUUUCUAACGCUGCUUUAAAAAAAAAAGAUAUCACAUAGUAGAAUUGCAUAAGUGCUGCUCUCCACUUUCUGGAGGAUUCAGUGGAAUUAGAGUAUGAUAGCUAAGGAGAUGGAGAAAAUUCUGGUGUUUCAUUGCAAAUAUGCAGACAGAGAACACACAGAAGGCUGUUGUAUAAAGCACCUGUCUCCGAAUUAAAUCUUGAAACUAAGGGCAAUCAUCACAUCCGUGACAGAGAGGGAGAAGCGUCCAUCCAUGUAUACGAGUAAGAGAGUCUAGCUAGCUACAUUUUCAGAUAUUACACAUUUCUAAUUUAGUCAGAAAGUAAUUUUAAUUUCAAGUUAAAGAGUACUGUUAGCUAGCUAACAUUACGCAUAUGAUCUGUGUAAUAAUAUUAUUCGUAUCUCAGAGCCAUUUGCAUUGCUAGUUAUAGCCUAAUGUUAACAUUGAACCUGGUUGGUUAGCUAUCUGCAGAGGGGCCUGUGGCACAGUCAGGUCAAACAGGAAGGGGAUGCCGGCAUUCGGAUGCAGGAAGAUGCAGAGAGAGGAGGUGGAGUUCAAGGAAAGCUGUCAACAGCUGGCAGUAAAGUGGCAUGACAAACGAGACGUCCAUGCCCUCUCCACUGUCCAUACAGCAACCAUGUCGGCCACAGGGAAGGUGGACCACUUGAUGGAAGAAAGAAAGAUCAAACCGGACUGUGUGCUUGACUAUAACCUCAAAAUGGGGACAGUGGAUAAGGUGGACAUGAUAAACAGCUUUGUGGAAUGCGCUCAGAAAACGACCAAGUACUACAAUAAUAUUUUUUUCCGCGUUAUCGACACUGCUGCCCUAAAUGGCCACAUAGUUCACCGCCAACUAACAGGUGAGAUGAUUACCGAACAAUGUCUUUUUUGUAAUUGGACGUACAUUUCACAUAAAAAUCACAUACCGUUCCAUUAUGCAAUUAUAUUGACAAUAUCUCACCCACCUACCCACUGCCUCAUCAUCUCCCCUCAUUCAUCCUCCCCACAGGUAAAGUAAUUACCUACCAAAAGUACAGAGAAAACCUAAUGAGAGAGCUGCUGGAGGAGCACCACACCCCUCGGCGUUCAUCCACUAGGUGCCGUCCUGCUGCAGACAAUCCCCUACGCCUCACUGCACAGAAUUGUCACUGCAAAGUCUGCCUGUCUGGCACCAAGAGAAGGAAGCAGAGGAGGUUGACAAAGUACAUGUGUUUAGCUUGUGACACACCUCUAUGUAUUUCACCAUGCUUUGGGAAUACCAUAUGCUCAAGCACUGUUGAGUACAUCUGCAGCAAUUACUGACUGACUGACUUGACAGGUGACCUGCAAUGAUAUUAUGCCUUUAUAGGUGGGGGUUGGAAAUGCAGUUGUUGUUCAAUCACUGCAUGAAUAUGGGUUAUGCAUAUUCAUAAGUUGUCAGUCUUUUCUUGCAGCUUUUUUCCCUCCAGUAAAACUAGUUUUUGUUGUUCAACCACUACCAAUACUUCAAUAAAAUAGACGAGUAUUACAUGUAGGCCUAUAUGUUUUCUUGCUGUGUUUUCAUCCAGUAAAACUGUUAAGGAG